GAUCAUGGCUCAGGACGAACGCUGGCGGCGUGCCUAACACAUGCAAGUCGAACGGAGUUGAAAGGAGCUUGCUUUUUUCAACUCAGUGGCGGACGGGUGAGUAACGCGUGAGUAACCUGCCUUUCAGAGGGGGAUAACGUUCUGAAAAGAACGCUAAUACCGCAUAAGAUUGUAGUUUCGCAUGGGACAGCAAUCAAAGGAGCAAUCCGCUGAAAGAUGGACUCGCGUCCGAUUAGAUAG
rnacentral:rRNA from 1 species